AUUGAACGCUGGCGGCAGGCCUAACACAUGCAAGUCGAGCGGAGCGGCGGACGGGCGAGUAAUGCCUAGGCAUCUGCCUGGCCGUGGGGGAUCACGUCCGGAAACGGGCGCUAAUCCCGCAUACUAUCAGUUGAGACUAGGUCGGAUUAGCUCGUUGGGUGGGUAAAGGCCUACCAAGGCGACGAUGCGUAACUGGUCUGAGAGGAUGAUCAGUCACACUGGAAAUGAGACACGGUCCAGACUCCAACGGGAGGCAGCAGUGGGGAAUAUUGGAUAAUGGGCGAAAGCCUGAUCCAACCAUGCCGCGUGUGUGAAGAAGGUCUUCGGAUUGGAAAGCACUUUAAGUUGGGAGGCGGUACCAACAGAAUAAGCACCGGCUAACUUCGUGCCAGCAGCCGCGGUAAUAC
rnacentral:rRNA from 1 species